GACGAACGCUGGCGGCGUGCUUAACACAUGCAAGUCGAACGGAAAGGCCCUGCUUGCAGGGUACUCGAGUGGCGAACGGGUGAGUAACACGUGGGUGAUCUGCCCUGCUCUUCGGGAUAAGCCUGGGAAACUGGGUCUAAUACCGGAUAGGGGCCAUUUUUAGUGUGAUGGUUGGAAAGUUUUUUCGGUGUAGGAUGAGCUCGCGGCCUAUCGGCUUGUUGGGGGGGUGAUGGCCUACCAAGGCGGCGACGGGUAGCCGGCCUGUGAGGGUGGACCGCCGCCUUGGGACUGAGGGACGGCCCAGACUCCUACGGGAGGCAGCAGGGGGGAAUAUUGCACAAUGGGCGCAAGCCUGAUGCAGCGGCGCCGCGUGGGGGAUGACGGCCUUCGGGUUGUAAACUCCUUUCGCUAGGGACGAAGCUUUUUGUGACGGUACCUAGAUAAGAAGCACCGGCUAACUACGUG
rnacentral:rRNA from 1 species